UACGUAGGGGGCUAGCGUUGUCCGGAAUCAUUGGGCGUAAAGCGCGCGUAGGCGGCCCAGUAAGUCCGUUGUAAAAGUCAAAGGCUCAACCUUUGAAAGCCGAUGGAUACUGCUGGGCUAGAGUCCGGAAGAGGAGAGUGGAAUUCCUGGUGUAGCGGUGAAAUGCGCAGAUAUCAGGAAGAACACCCGUGGCGAAGGCGGCUUUCUGGGACGGUACUGACGCUGAGACGCGAAAGCGUGGGGAGCGAACAGG
rnacentral:rRNA from 1 species